AAUACUUGACUUUGAUUGUUAUUGCCUCAAUUUUGGUUCCUCAACAACAAUAUAGCGUCUCGUAUGAUGAAAAACCGAAUUAGCCCACUUAAGUCCCCUCUAUUAAACAACGACUUGAGAUUGUUGGUAUAUGGUACGACCCGAGGGCUUGGGAAACACCCAGCCUUAUUUAAUAGGUCAUCCAGCUCGACGACAAUGCGCCUGGAUUUUGGGGAAUUCAAGUUAUUGUAGCCGCAGCGUGUAUCCACACGAUUGGGGUGGGUCAUUCGUGGUCUACACGGUUGAUGAGCCGCCCAUGAAGUAUAUUUACAAAAAUUUAUGUGCUUCGUUUGGCAAUACCGUAUUUUACAAUUAUCUACUGACGCCUGCAAUGAGGCACUCAAUAAAGCUUGCCGUCCUGGCAACUAGCAACUAGAGGUC
rnacentral:misc_RNA from 1 species